UCAUCUUGCUUGUAGUUGAUCAUUAUUAAAAGCGCCACCACUUGGCUUGUCACACAGGUUCUCGUUAAAAAUGUGCCACCCGAUCCUGAUGAAACAGUGAGCGAAUCCGUUGAGCACUUUUUCCUGGUCAACCAUCCAGAUCACUAUCUGACUCAUCAGGUUGUAUGCAAUGCCAAUAAGCUUGCAGAACUGGUCAAGGAGAAGAAAAAAAAGCAAAAUUGGCUUGACUAUUACCAAUUAAAGUAUUCGAGAAAUCAAUUGAAACGGCCAAUGACCAAGACUGGUUUUCUUGGUCUUUGUGGAGAGAAAGUAGAUGCAAUUGAUUAUCAGACAGCUGAAAUUGAGAGACUAUCGAAAGAAGUAAGUGUGGGUUCUCAAAUUUUUAAUAUU